rnacentral:rRNA from 1 species
AUUGAACGCUGGCGGCAUGCUUUACACAUGCAAGUCGGACGGCAGCACAGAGAAGCUUGCUUCUUGGGUGGCGAGUGGCGAACGGGUGAGUAACAUAUCGGAACGUACCGGGCAGUGGGGGAUAACUAAUCGAAAGAUUAGCUAAUACCGCAUAUUUUCUGAGGAAGAAAGCAGGGGACCAUUUGGCCUUGCGCUGUUUGAGCGGCCGAUAUCUGAUUAGCUAGUUGGUAGGGUAAAGGCCUACCAAGGCGACGAUCAGUAGCGGGUCUGAGAGGAUGAUCCGCCACACUGGGACUGAGACACGGCCCAGGCUCCUACGGGAGGCAGCAGUGGGGAAUUUUGGACAAUGGGCGCAAGCCUGAUCCAGCCAUGCCGCGUGUCUGAAGAAGGCCUUCGGGUUGUAAAGGACUUUUGUCAGGGAAGAAAAGGGCGGGGUUAAUACCCCUGUCUGAUGACGGUACCUGAAGAAUAAGCACCGGCUAACUACGUGCCAGCAGCCGCGGUAAUACGUAGGGUGCGAGCGUUAAUCGGAAUUACUGGGCGUAAAGCGGGCGCAGACGGUUACUUAAGCAGGAUGUGAAAUCCCCGGGCUCAACCUGGGAACUGCGUUCUGAACUGGGCGACUAGAGUGUGUCUGAGGGAGGUAGAAUUCCACGUGUAGCAGUGAAAUGCGUAGAGAUGUGGAGGAAUACCGAUGGCGAAGGCAGCCUCCUGGGAUAACACUGACGUUCAUGCCCGAAAGCGUGGGUAGCAAACAGGAUUAGAUACCCUGGUAGUCCACGCCCUAAACGAUGUCGAUUAGCUGCUGGGCAGCUUGACUGCUUAGUAGCGAAGCUAACGCGUGAAAUCGACCGCCUGGGGAGUACGGUCGCAAGAUUAAAACUCAAAGGAAUUGACGGGGACCCGCACAAGCGGUGGAUGAUGUGGAUUAAUUCGAUGCAACGCGAAGAACCUUACCUGGUCUUGACAUGUACGGAACCCUCCAGAGACGGAGGGGUGCCUUCGGGAGCCGUAACACAGGUGCUGCAUGGCUGUCGUCAGCUCGUGUCGUGAGAUGUUGGGUUAAGUCCCGCAACGAGCGCAACCCUUGUCAUUAGUUGCCAUCAUUAAGUUGGGCACUCUAAUGAGACUGCCGGUGACAAGCCGGAGGAAGGUGGGGAUGACGUCAAGUCCUCAUGGCCCUUAUGACCAGGGCUUCACACGUCAUACAAUGGUCGGUACAGAGGGUAGCCAAGCCGCGAGGUGGAGCCAAUCUCACAAAACCGAUCGUAGUCCGGAUUGCACUCCGCAACUCGAGUGCAUGAAGUCGGAAUCGCUAGUAAUCGCAGGUCAGCAUACUGCGGUGAAUACGUUCCCGGGUCU